ACACUGUGCUAUGGCUGCGUCAUUUGUCACCCCACUGAUCGCCAGGGUUGAUUUGGCUGAUCUGGCUGGCUAGGCGGGUGUCUCCUUCCUCCCUCACUGCUCCAUGUGUGUCCCUCCCGGAACUGCGCUUUCGGUUGAAGAGGAUGACCUUCCCCAGUAUAGACGAACAAAUCGUCCGUCGAGGGUAUACAAGUAGCUGCGCUCCCCUGCUAGAACCUCCAAACAAGCUCUCUUAUGCACUUGCCAUAAAAGAAAACCUUCUUGUGACCAUCUACAUUUUGAUUCUAAAACUGUAUCA
rnacentral:snRNA from 1 species